UAUUCUAGCUUUAAAAUUAGCUAUAACUUGUUUUCAUAUGCAAAUUUAAGUGUGAGGUAAUUUUGAAUUUAGAUAGUUCAAUGGUUUAUUUAAUUAUUUGGUCGCAGUGGGGGAAUCUGAAUAUUGGUGAAAACCAGAUUGGGGGAUGGUUUUUAGUAUUGGCAAAGUUUGUGCCAGCAGCCGCGGUUACACAGACGAUACCAGUUAAUUUUUUCGGUGGCCAGUAAAUUUUUUAAUUAAAAUUUUUAAUUUGGGUUUAUAAGGUGAAAUUUGUAAAUUUAUUUGAAAAGUUAAUUUUUGUUAUUAAGGCUGGGAUAUUCAGGUUUUAAACUAGGAUUAGAUACCCUAUUAUUCUGAAUGUAAAUUUUUAGUGCUAGACCAGUAUUAGUUAUGUUCUUGAAAAUUAAAGAUUUUGGCGGUAUUUUAGUCCAUUCAGAGGAACCUGUCCUGUAAUUGAUGAUCCACGAGCUAUUCAACUUUCUUUAUUAGUUUGUAUAUCGUCGUAGUUUGAAUAUUUUGUUAGAAAUUAAAUAUUCAUAAUUUUUCUUAUAAGGGAAAUCAGAUCAAGGUGCAGCCCAUAAGGGAGUAGAGAUGGGUUACAAUAAAUUUAUUUAGAAGGAUUUAUUUUUGAAAUGAAUUGAUGAAUUUGGAUUUGAGGGUAAUUUUAAUUAGGCAAUUAAAAUGAUUUAGGCUCUAAAAUAUGCACAUAUCGCCCGUCGCUUUCAUCCCAAGGUGAAAUAAGUCGUAACAUAGUAGGCUUACUGGAAAGUGAGCCUGGGUAGG
rnacentral:ncRNA from 1 species